GCCACGGAUCAAAGAGCUCGCACAAGAUCACGGUUUAGUUUGUUCAAUGGUUACAUCUAAUUGUUGAGGCUAUAAGACCUUAUGGCCUUUUUUUGUUCUCAUAAAUUGAGGUUUGGAUUUACAAUCCUUUUAACCAAACAGUUUGUUCAACAGCAGUACACAAAUAAAUUCUAUUUUUAUCAACAUAAUUAGAGUAUGCUAAUUUCAAAAUUGCUUCUUAAACUACUAAAACGGCAAACACGGUUCAGAUGUAUGCAGAUAGAAAUAAUAACAAAUAUCCUAUCAGAAGAGGUGUUGGAUAACAAUGUUUUAACAUCACAGGAUUUGUAACAGUCAAUGACCUAAAAAGGGACUCAAGUGAUGCAUCUACCUCUUCCUCUUUUUUUGCUUUAACUCAGGAGGAAAUGUAAGAGGGACAGAAAGAGUAACACACAAACCGUUAAGAGAGCUUUUCUGACGGAUAAGUUUGCAACCCAAUUGCUCAUAGACUUGUCUCACGGCCAAAACAUUCAUGCUCAGAUCCUUUGCAAUAUCUGUGCAGUAAGUUUUGAAGUUAUCAGCGAAAAGCGUAAGCACCAGCACGUAACUUAUGAGAAGAGAAAUUUUUUCAGGGGGUAGCCUUCUUAAUUCAGAAACAGCAAACAUAUUUGAAAAUUUAUGUCGCAGGAUGUUGGGGAUUUUAUGGCCCUUUGCAGUGAAAACAUCAAAGGAAUGCUGAUCUUUGAACUUUAUCAGAUGAUUGAUGUAUGAGAAUAUGCAGGAAAGCUUCCUCUUUUCUGACUCAUCCUGUAAAUAUAAACAAUAGAUCACAAAUAUUUUAGUUGGAAAAGACAAAAAUCAAACCUUGAAGAGUAUUUGGAUCAAAAG
rnacentral:sRNA from 1 species